GAUGAACGCUGGCGGCGUGCCUAAUACAUGCAAGUCGAGCGAAUGGAUUAAGAGCUUGCUCUUAUGAAGUUAGCGGCGGACGGGUGAGUAACACGUGGGUAACCUGCCCAUAAGACUGGGAUAACUCCGGGAAACCGGGGCUAAUACCGGAUAACAUUUUGAACCGCAUGGUUCGAAAUUGAAAGGCGGCUUCGGCUGUCACUCAUGGAUGGACCCGCGUCGCAUUAGCUGGUUGGUGAGGUAACGGCUCACCAAGGCAACGAUGCGUAGCCGACCUGAGAGGGUGAUCGGCCACACUGGGACUGAGACACGGCCCAGACUCCUACGGGAGGCAGCAGUAGGGAAUCUUCCGCAAUGGACGGAAGUCUGACGGAGCAACGCCGCGUGAGUGAUGAAGGCUUUCGGGUCGUAAAACUCUGUUGUUAGGGAAGAACAAGUGCUAGUUGAAUAAGCUGGCACCUUGACGGUACCUAACCAGAAAGCCACGGCUAACUACGUGCCAGCAGCCGCGGUAA
rnacentral:rRNA from 1 species